rnacentral:rRNA from 1 species
AACGAACGCUGGCGGCAGGCUUAACACAUGCAAGUCGAACGCGUGUAGCAAUACACGAGUGGCGCACGGGUGAGUAACACGUGGAUAUCUGCCUUUUGGUUCGGAAUAACUCCGGGAAACUGGAGCUAAUACCGGAUGGUUCCUACGGGAUAAAGAUUUAUCGCCAAAAGAUGAGUCCGCGCACGAUUAGCUAGUUGGUGAGGUAAUGGCUCACCAAGGCGACGAUCGUUAGCUGGUCUGAGAGGACGAUCAGCCACACUGGGACUGAGACACGGCCCAGACUCCUACGGGAGGCAGCAGUGGGGAAUAUUGGACAAUGGGGGCAACCCUGAUCCAGCCAUGCCGCGUGAGUGAUGAAGGCCUUCGGGUUGUAAAGCUCUUUUGGCGGGGACGAUGAUGACGGUACCCGCAGAAUAAGCCCCGGCUAACUUCGUGCCAGCCGCCGCGGUAAAAC